UCUCACAUUCUCACCCCAUUAAUUUAUCCCUCUUUGCUGCCUAGGGUUCACCAUAGCAGCCGAAUUGCAGAACAAGCUCAUUUUCUUCUUCGCUACUGGAUUUUUUCAGAAAUGGGAGGAAGUGGGAAAAUCAAUAAGACAGACAUGAGCGAUAGUGUGAGAAAAAUUAUGUCGCCGUGCGAUGUGGAGGCGCUGAAGAAAUGUCUGGAAGAGAACAAAGGCGAUCAGAGUAAAUGCCGAUCACAAAUCGAAGCUUUCAAAAGCGCAUGCUCAAUUAAGAAACCCACUUCAUCUUGAAAAAAAUACGGUUUUUGAGCUCGUACCAGCUCUCCCGUCUCUUGGUUUGGGCGGAUGAUCCCGUGGAACAAUAUCCUACUGAUUGCUGUGAAUCCACAUCCUUUGAGGAACAACUAAAUAACAUCUCAGCGUAAAAGACUCAUCACUACGAUCCUUAGUUAGCGACUCAUGUCUUUCCCUUCUUUGCCGUGCUGGAAUCUCACAGAAGAAGCAGAGGAGCUUCGUCAUCUUCAUAGUAGCGAUGACCAGAUUUCACCAAGUUUGAAAUGAGUAGAUUAAUGAAGUUCUUGAAUUCUUGCACCAGAACCAGAAUUAUAUGCUCAUGUUUAUUGAAAAUUUAUGAACAACUCAGGUCUAGUCAAUAUGUACAUAUUGUUGUACUACUACAUAUGAAUUCCAUUUUUCACAAA